AUCCUUUUGUAGUUCAUGAGCAUGAUGAUUGGGUGUUCACACGCUUGUGUGAGAUGUGCCACCCUUGAAUUUUGUCACGACGUCAGCACAUUACCCAUCUGACC
rnacentral:snoRNA from 13 species